ensembl:lncRNA
CCUCGAGGGGCGGGGGGGCGGGGGUGUUCGGCGGCGGGUUGUGGUGAGGCUGGGAAGUGGUUUCUUGUUGUCCGUGUCCCUCACGGCUUGGGGAAAGCAGGCAGCUGUUCUGGGAGCAGGAGGGGUGUUUCCUCUGGUUUGGCUGCUAGUUAGUCAUAAAACCACUUCUGUAAAGUGGCUUCCCGCCGUCUGAUCGUAGAACGUCUCGAGCUGGGAGGGGCCCUGUAGAAAGGUCCAGACAAAAGCCUUGCUCCCCUUCGGGGGUGUACUUCAAAAACUGCUCGGAGUUACUGCUCAGGAGCUGCCUCCUUGAAUGCAGUGUAGCAGUUACCAAGUUAAGAACUGUAGACCUUUAAGAAACAAAAUGCAGUCUGAGGGGAAGGGAUGGCAUUCAAGGCUAAAGUAAAAGGGGAAGACCAGCAUGGGAUGUCUUGAUCCCAUGCUGGGCUUGGUAAUUUAAAGGUGAGGCUUUCCUGUUAUAACAUUUGUUUGUGAUAAUAGGGUCAAAAAGGUAUUAUGGGGAGGGAAGGGGGAAAUAGCUAAAGGUGCCCUAUUAGAAAUAAUAAUCUAAAUCCUAAUAUUGAAAUUAUCAUUACUGAACUAAAUACUUAUUUUUCUCUAGGCCCAAAGAAAAAGGUCAGUGGGAAAACCCUACCAAAAAUUACAGAAAAUCUUGAACUCAUUGAGGAGAACCCUUCAUGCAACCAAAGCAAUCAAGUGAAUGUCAGAGAAACAAGAGACUUGGAAAAAGAAGAAGAGGAAUCAGAAGAAAGCAGUGUAUCACUGAAGAAAUCCUCAAUGAUCAGCUUUGAAAGUAAAGAAAGUUUACAAAAUGCAGAAAUGACUUCAAGUACAGGAAUGACUCUUCCCACAGGUGUUUCAACCUUUCUCAUUCAGUGUUUAGAUGGCGAUUCAACUGCAGAUUUUAACAAUACUAGUGACAGCCUGCAGAGUUACUCAUCCCCUGAAACAUUCAGAGAUGAUGAUUCAGAAAGAAGUCAUUUUUACUCUGUGGACCUUGGCAAGUACAAGAACUCUACUCUACUGGACUCCAGCAAAGCAGUGACCAUUGAUAAGAUAGCACAGAUCUCAAAUCUUUCAGCAAUAUUAGAACCUGUACCAAAGGAUUUUCAAGACCAGUGCAUUAGAAGAAAGAGACCAUCAAAUUGCAAUUACAGUUCUUCAGCAUUAGGCAUUUCAGCUACUCUGUCAGGAAAAAAGCUCUGUAAAAUUACAGCUGCAAGAGAGAGAACUCCAGACCUAAAAAGUGGUAUGCGCUGUGCUUCAUCCUUAGGACCGGACAGCAAGCCUGACAAGCAAACUGCUAAACCCAAAAGGGUGAAGCGUAAGGGAACAGGAAACAAUUCUGAUCCAGCAGAAGAAAGUUCAUCAUCAUUCAGGCAGCUUGGUGCCCCAGGAAACACUUCAGCCAAACCAGGGGGGUUGACAGCAGAAGUUGUGCCAACCAAACCAACAGAUGCUGUGGUGCAAAUGACUUCCACUAUGCUGAUGAUUGAGGAAAAUAAAGCUCUAAAAAAUCCUGGUAAUGCUCAGCUUGCACAGCUAAAGCUCAGCUUGUCACCAGUGUGCAAAGCCUCAACUGGGGAAAGCCUGUUCCUGAAUACCACAGGUCCACGUGUAAAUUCAGAAGAAAUUGUUCCUGCAUCUCUGAGCUCAGAAAAGGAAAUUAUUCCUCAAAGUCCAGAAGAAAAGAAUAUUUUUAAGCCCCUGUGUGACAGACAAGAAAUCUGCUCCAUUGUUAGACUGUCACCACACCAGAGGCCUUCCAGGCUGCAGCAAGUUCCAGUUAUCAGGAAAGGGUUCUCCCUUCCCAAAGGAGUGCCUGAAGAUAUUAUUACAAGUACCAAAAAUUGGAUCUGCUGUGAACAGAGAUGAGAUUUCUGGGUCUCAGCAGGAGUCAACAGAAGAAAUGACCAUCUUGUUGCUGGAACAGAACUAACAAAUGGCUGGUGUUUUUUUUCUUGUUUGCACAUACGUUGUUUGAAAUUUGGUAUUAUGUGUUCAGUAAGCUUGUAAGUACUUUACUCAAGUACUUAGCAUUAAAUUAUUUUGUACAGCAACUAGAUCCUAUUCUGGGCAUCAUUCUGCAAGGACUUCAUAAAGAUGAUUCUUCAAUUUUGCUUAGAUUUUUAGAAAGCACGACUCAAGAACAGCAGACCAGAUUAAUUAUGGAGUUAUAUUUGGCUCUUGCUCUGCCAGGAUUUCUAGUUUUCUCUAGUAGCAUUAGCAUUUAAAGAUGUGACCUCUGUUUAAGUGUUAAUACAGGUUAUGGGGGUGGGUGUGAAAGCAUUCAUGUACUCUCAGGGACCCAGAAGUCAAUAGUAUGCUGCCAUUAAACUCCCUGAAUGCUUAGAUCUGCAGAACUUUGGAGGUGCAGGACUGUGUGUUCUGCUGUAAAUUGAUUUUUUAACCAUGAAUAUAGGUCAUCAUCACCCUACCAUCACUGUGAUCAGCAUUGUCACCAUUCUGGGCACAUCCACUGCCCAGCCACUGGCACCUCUGAGUCCUUCCUGUUCCAUCUCACCUGUUCUGUAGCAUCCCAUCUCUCAGUCACUGUUUCUUCUACUGCCUUCAGACUUAGAAGCAGCAGAUGCCUUCCAUGAAUACAAGGUGGGAAAAACCCUUUUAUAGCUGAAUUGUGUGAAGAGCUGGAUAUUGGCAUUCUGGAUUUUCAGGUUACUGUUCACACUAUGUCCACAUAAUUUCCACUUCAGCUUGUGGAUUGUUAAUUCUUAAAUGUCAUUCUUAGUGUGCCAAGUGCCUCAGAAAACACUCUCAAGAGCACAGUUUUUUCCAGCUGAAUUCAUUGCAGGUUAAAGUUAUUUGGAUCCCUACAGAGUUCUCACUACAACACCCUGACUCUUUUCUGGACAAAAAGGGAAGUUUUUUGAUGUUUCAAAAUGCCAGUAUGGCUUUCAAAAGUCUGUUUCUCAGUGUUAUCACUCUGGAAAAUAGUUUUGUAUUUCCAAAAAGAGCAUGCCAAGAAAACAUACAAAAUCCACAACUUUAGUUUGACUACGUUUGAAAAUAACCUGUGAAAGUUUGAACCCUGAGCCUUUCCCCAUUGCUCUGGGGCAGAAGGAAGUGCAAAUAAAUGAUGCUGGAUUAGUCUAUGAAGAAGUAUU